rnacentral:rRNA from 1 species
GUGGGGAAUAUUGGACAAUGGGCGAAAGCCUGAUCCAACCAUGCCGCGUGUGUGAAGAAGGUCUUCGGAUUGUAAAGCACUUUAAGUUGGGAGGAAGGGCAGUAAGUUAAUACCUUGCUGUUUUGACGUUACCGACAGAAUAAGCACCGGCUAACUUCGUGCCAGCAGCCGCGGUAAUACGAAGGGUGCAAGCGUUAAUCGGAAUUACUGGGCGUAAAGCGCGCGUAGGUGGUUUUGUAAGUUGGAGGUGAAAUCCCCGGGCUCAAACUGGGAACUGCCUCCAAAAAUACUGAGCUAGAGUACGGUAGAGGGUAGUGGAAUUUCCUGUGUAGCGGUGAAAUGCGUAGAUAUAGGAAGGAACGCCAGUGGCGAAGGCGACUACCUGGACUGAUACUGACACUGAGGUGCGAAAGCGUGGGGAGCAAACAGGAUUAGAAACCCCUGUAGUCC